rnacentral:rRNA from 1 species
UACAGAGGGUGCAAGCGUUAAUCGGAAUUACUGGGCGUAAAGCGCACGUAGGUGGUGUUUUAAGUUAGGUGUGAAAUCCCCGGGCUCAACCUGGGAACUGCAUCUAAGACUGGGACACUAGAGUAUGGUAGAGGGAAGUGGAAUUUCCGGUGUAGCGGUGAAAUGCGUAGAUAUCGGAAGGAACACCAGUGGCGAAGGCGGCUUCCUGGACUAAUACUGACACUGAGGUGCGAAAGCGUGGGUAGCGAACAGG